rnacentral:rRNA from 1 species
UAAGACAUGCAAGUCGAACGAGAUGGCCCAAUGAAGAUGGAGUGCUUGCACAAAAUUGGAAAUGGAUUCCCAUCUAGUGGCGCAAGGGUGAGUAACACGUGGGUAAUCUACCUUCGAGUUUGGAAUAACAAUUAGAAAUGAUUGCUAAUGCCGAAUUAUAUAUAAGCAGAUGCGUCUGUUUAUAUUAAAAGGAGCCUUUAAAGCUUCGCUUGAAGAUGAGCCUGCGCCGUAUUAGCUAGUUGGUGAGGUAAUGGCUUACCAAGGCGACGAUGCGUAGCCGACCUGAGAGGGUGAUCGGCCACACUGGGACUGAGACACGGCCCAGACUCCUACGGGAGACAGCAGUUAGGAAUAUUCGUCAAUGGGGGAAACCCUGAACGAGCAAUGCCGCGUGAAGGAUGACGGUCCUAUGGAUUGUAAACUUCUGUUGUUAGGGAAGAAAGAACUAAGUAGGAAAUGACUUAGGAGUGACGGUACCUUUCAAGAAAGCUCCGGCUAACUACGUG